rnacentral:lncRNA from 1 species
GUCGUGUUCUAAAAAAAUGGUAUUGCUAAAAAUUACUAGGAAAAUGAGAAGGCUUUCUUCAUAUGUAAUCCCCGUUUCAGAAUCCUUGGAAUUGACCCAAAAGGGGUAAGAGAAACAAAAUUCAAAAUCAUGCAGUUCAAAAGAAGGCUCGCAAUAUAUUUGUUUAAAUCUAAUGAAGUGUACAUUACAUUUAUGGAUUUUUAGGGUCA